rnacentral:rRNA from 1 species
CAGCAGCCGCGGGAAUACGUAGGGUGCGAGCGUUAAUCGGAAUUACUGGGCGUAAAGCGUGCGCAGGCGGUUCGUUAAGACAGAUGUGAAAUCCCCGGGCUUAACCUGGGAACUGCAUUUGUGACUGGCGAGCUAGAGUAUGGCAGAGGGGGGUAGAAUUCCACGUGUAGCAGUGAAAUGCGUAGAGAUGUGGAGGAAUACCGAUGGCGAAGGCAGCCCCCUGGGCCAAUACUGACGCUCAUGCACGAAAGCGUGGGGAGCAAACAGGAUUAGAUACCCGAGUAGUCCCUGUCUCUUAUAC